AUGAUUUUAGAGACCAUCCAACCCAGAUCAGCACCUCACAGCUUCCAGAAUAAUUUGAGAUACAAAUUGAUAAGGAUCGUCAAGCAGGAGUUCAUCAUGAAUGAUUCCCUCAACCAAAAUAUAUAUGUGGAUAUGGACAGAAUACAUCUCAAAGCUGCUUCGUUAAAUGACCUGCAGCUUGAAGGUAACAGCAAGUCCGUCGCUCUUCCCCUCUGAGUUUCUUUGCCUCUUUCGAACUUUCGGUUUCCAAAGCACAAAGUUAUCUACAUCCUGGGCUUAGCACAGUUCUUCUAGAACAGAAUGAAGCACUCCACCCCCACAGAGAAUCCCUGGGAAGGACAGAAUACACAUUCUGAAAGAGAGAUCACUCCUCGGAACAGAGAGCUUCCUGGCGUACCUUCUCCUUGCUGCUUACAGACGUUCCCUAUCCUGAUGUUAAAGAAGAGAAAAACUGAGCACCCAGAUAGUUAACAAAGCGAACGGGGAGCAGUCAGUCCCCAUCUUUUGGAGAACCUGAAUGUCAGAAUUACGGCUAGCGUUCAUCUAGGAAAAGCUUCUUUAACUUGGAUAAUGUAAUGGAAAAGCCAAAAGCCCUUAAGUGCUUUGGGAUCUGAAGGAUGGGAUUCAGUGCCCAACAUUUCCUGUUAUGCAGAUCCGGUUUCCAUAAUAAACCUGUUCUAGAUGCAGAAUGC
rnacentral:lncRNA from 1 species